UAUGCCUGUGACCCCAAAAAAUAAUUCCAAUUUUUCUGUUUGUUUUUUCUGUGAUAUUUGCAAAUUCUUUGCAAAUAAAUGGACAAAUUCUUCCUUGAACUGUAUAUAUUUAUAUUAAAACAUUCUAGAUAUUCCCUUCAGUAAUAUAAAGUACAUAAGAAAAUUGCUCAUGAAUAUCAAAAAUUUGAAUGUAAACAGGAAGUGCUUUGUUCAUGUUGUUGGAGGCAAACAGAAUGCUGCUAAAUAACUGUGUAGCUGGAAACUAAACUGCUUUUAGAGGGACAUCAGAUACAAGAGUGUACAUACUUAGUUAUUAUGUCUUCAACACAUAUGUAUGAAUUGAUGUAUUCAUAGAAAUUUGAUGGAUUCAGUGAGUAUAUGCUAAAGGAUGACAUAAGAUCACAGACAGAGACCCCAUCAAACAUAAAUCACAGAAUAUUUCAACUAAAUUAAUAGUCUGUGGCAGUUUGGUUUUACUUCUCAACCAGCGCAGGUCACUGAAGUUUAAAACAAUUAUACUAAGGAUCAGUUGUGGAGCUACAUAGAUACUGCCAAUGAUAAUGGCAAAGUCAGCAAGUUGUUCUUCAGAAAUCUGUUUUCUGAAGAAAAGAACAGGGGACAAUCCCUUACCGGCAGUGCCACUAAUAACACUAAUAACAGUACCUCCGCUAGGCUGGCCAUCAAAGACCAGCAGAAGUUGGAAGUAAUUCAAGAACUGAUCCAGAUGAAAUGGUCGUGGGCCAAGCCUGCAAUGGUCAACAGCAAAAUUUCCAAGAUUCUGAAACCCUAAAGAAACUCCUCAGUCUAGUUUGGAAAGUAGACUGCCCAUGUAUUUUCGAUGUAUUACAGAUAUAAAAAUUAAAAUGUUUAAAUGUGCUAAAUCAGUACUUAUUGUUAUAAAUCCU